AAAGUCGUAACAAGGUCUCCGUUGGUGAACCAGCGGAGGGAUCAUUACCGAGUUUUCAACUCACCAACCCACUGUGAACAUACCUACGUUGCUUCGGCGGCGGGCUUCGGCCCCCGCCGGGGACCCAAACACUAUUUUUAACCGAUACCUCUGAGUAAAAAACAAAUAAAUCAAAACCUUUAACAACGGAUCUCUUGGCUCUG
rnacentral:misc_RNA from 1 species